CUAUAAAUAUAUAUUUAUUGUCCACUUAUUGCACACAUAUCACUUUUUCUAAAAUUUAGUUCUCUUUCUCUGUCUCUCUCUCUCUCUCUCUCUCUCUCUCCAUCUAGCUAACUACGCCUCUUCUCACGAAGAAGAGGAUCAAGAACAACCUACAAAACCCACAACUUUGCCCUCAAAACCCAGUUCUUCCUCUUCCUCUACGUUUUCUUCUCUACCCAAAUCCAAACACCAACUUCGUCUCUCUUCGAAUCCCUUCUGUAACCUGAACAAACCCAAGCAAAACCCUCUUUUCUGAAUAUGACAGCAUGUCUUGGCAUUAGGUGGCCAUUGUUUGACUAUUUUGGUCCAAUUUUGGGGGGUUUUGAAGUCUGGGUUUACAUGCUCUCUUCAAGAACAGCUUCUCCAGAAAAUGAAUUGUUGGGAAUAUGUAAGUUUUGAUGUUAAAUUGAAUUUGAUUACUGAAAUUGGAAUUGUGAUUGAUUUCGUCUGUAUUUUGUGUAGAAAGUGAAGUAUUGGGAUUGAUUUUGUUUGUCUGAAACAACAAAUUAAUGUGUUCGUUCUUUGUUGAUUGAUUCUUGCAUUUGGUAUUUGGAUUUUCAAUGAACGUAUAAUUAUAUCAUAGUGAGGUAGCAUUGUUGAUUUGCUAUUGCAAUCGUAUUGUGAUUUUAUUGCGAUUGUAUUGUAGUGGUAUUGCUUUUGUAUUGCUAUGGUAUUGCUGUUAUAUUGAUUUUUUUUGGGUGUUUAUUGAUAUGUUACUGUAAUUUAAUAGCAAUAUAUGUUGAUAUCUUUUUUUUUUUUAUCUGCUUGUGAUUUGAGUAGGAGUUGAGAUUAUUCUUGGCUGAAGUAUUAUUUACAAUCUCAAUCUCUCUCUCUCUCUCUGCUCUUCAUAUUUUUCACAACAUUUAUGUGUUAAUUUAAUGUUUGGUAUUGUUUUGGAACCAUAAUCAUUGUCAAUCCCAUUGUUUCUUUAAAAGAUUGCUGUGAAAUUGUUACUUCAUUUUUUUCUUUCCUUUGUUUUAAGAUAUUUUUGUUUGGAGAAAAAGAACUCUGUUUUUGUAAUCUAAAAGACUAGGUAUCUAUGUCCCACAUCUUGGGACUAAUUGAAUGUGAUUUUUGAUAUUGAAAGGAAGCUGGCAACUUUGGUUGAAAAAAUGAAGGUGUUAUUGCUGAAGUAAUUUCUACUUGAUUUCAAUUUGCCUAUAAAACUUGUUAACUGGUGCUCAACAAGUUGGGUUUUUGUAGCUUGAGUGGCGUAUAAUUUAGGUUCACUUUUUGCAUGUGAGUGUUUUAAUUGAUUGGAUCUUCUACCUAUAUGUUUGUCAAAUCUCAAUCAUGUUUCUGAGAUGAGUUGUACAAUAGUGUUGGUUGAAAUUAAUAUGUUAUUUAUUCAUUGAAAGCAUAUUGUUUCCCGACGAUGAGUACUUGACCAAAUUAUAAUUUGCUGCAGUUUUGUCUUGACAAUUUAUGUUUCUUUCUCUUUUUCUUUUCAAAUUGCACAAGGAAAAGAAAAGUUGCACCCAACUCGUUUCCCUAUGAAGAACAAAUUUGAGGUUAACAGUUACACAAUGUGUUUUAGCUGGUUUGUGCAGUGUGCAAGUCAUACACUGGCAUUGGAGACCAUUUUGUGCAUAAUGUAAUGUGUAGACAAGGAGUUCUUUGAGAUGCCUUCUGAAGACAAAAGCAAAGCUUCUAUUAUGAAAUGCUAAGCAAACUUGCAGCAAACUGUACACAUCUUUGAUUAUGCUUGUUAUUAGGCCCCAAGAAUUAGUAAGGAUAUCUAAGACAUUAUGUAUUCUUCUUAUGGAGCUGUAUAUGUCUAAUAUUUGUGUAAUGUACUUGAUAUUGUUUUUGAGGUCAUUAUUAUAAUGAUAUGAAAUUUUCA
rnacentral:lncRNA from 1 species